GAAAAAAAGAAGAGAGACGAAGAAAGAAGACGAAGAAGAAGGAAAAAAAG
rnacentral:sRNA from 1 species